GAUGAACGCUAGCGGCAGGCCUAACACAUGCAAGUCGAGGGGGAAGUUACUUUCGGGUGACUGAGACCGGCGUACGGGUGCGUAACGCGUAUACAAUCUGCCUUUCACUGGGGGAUAGCCCGAAGAAAUUUGGAUUAAUACCCCAUAGUAUAUAGGGACGGCAUCGUUUUUAUAUUAAAGCUUAGGUGGUGAAAGAUGAGUAUGCGUUCUAUUAGCUAGUUGGAGAGGUAACGGCUCCCCAAGGCGAUGAUAGAUAGGGGUUCUGAGAGGAUGUCCCCCACACUGGUACUGAGAUACGGACCAGACUCCUACGGGAGGCAGCAGUGAGGAAUAUUGGACAAUGGUCGGAAGACUGAUCCAGCCAUGCCGCGUGCAGGAUGAAGGUCUUAUGGAUUGUAAACUGCUUUUGUAAGGGAAGAAUAAGGGCUACGCGUAGUUUGAUGACGGUACCUUACGAAUAAGCAUCGGCUAACUCCGUG
rnacentral:rRNA from 1 species